rnacentral:rRNA from 1 species
UAUGGAGGGUGCAAGCGUUAAUCGGAAUUACUGGGCGUAAAGCGUGCGUAGGCGGUUCGUUAAGUCUGUUGUGAAAGCCCCGGGCUCAACCUGGGAAUGGCAAUGGAUACUGGCGAGCUAGAGUGUGUCAGAGGAUGGUGGAAUUCCCGGUGUAGCGGUGAAAUGCGUAGAGAUCGGGAGGAACAUCAGUGGCGAAGGCGGCCAUCUGGGACAACACUGACGCUGAGGCACGAAAGCGUGGGGAGCAAACAGGG